AUUGAACGCUGGCGGCAUGCUUUACACAUGCAAGUCGAACGGCAGCAUGGGUGCUUGCACCUGAUGGCGAGUGGCGAACGGGUGAGUAAUAUAUCGGAACAUGUCCGGAGGUGGGGGAUAACGUAGCGAAAGUUACGCUAAUACCGCAUAUGCGCUGAGGGGGAAAGGCGGGGAUCGUCAGACCUUUCGCUUUCGGAGUGGCCGAUAUCAGAUUAGCUAGUUGGUGAGGUAAAGGCUCACCAAGGCAACGAUCUGUAGCGGGUCUGAGAGGAUGAGCCGCCACACUGGGACUGAGACACGGCCCAGACUCCUACGGGAGGCAGCAGUGGGGAAUUUUGGACAAUGGGCGCAAGCCUGAUCCAGCCAUGCCGCGUGAGUGAAGAAGGCCUUCGGGUUGUAAAGCUCUUUCAGCCGGAAAGAAAUCAUGCUUACUAAUACUAAGUGUGGAUGACGGUACCGGAAGAAGAAGCACCGGCUAACUACGUGCCAGCCGCCGCCGUAA
rnacentral:rRNA from 1 species